rnacentral:rRNA from 1 species
AUACGUAGGUGACAAGCGUUAUCCGGAUUUACUGGGCGUAAAGGGCGUGUAGGCGGUCUUGCAAGUCAGAAGUGAAAUUCCUGAGCUCAACUCGGGCGCUGCUUCUGAAACUGCAGGACUUGAGUGCUGGAGGGGAUAGCGGAAUUCCUAGUGGAGCGGUAAAAUGCGCAGAUAUUAGGAAGAACACCGGUGGCGAAGGCGGCUAUCUGGACAGUAACUGACGCUGAGGCGCGAAAGCGUGGGGAGCAAACAGGAUUAGAUUCCCUGGUAGUCCACGCCGUAAACGAUGAAUACUAGGUGUAGGGGGUAUCGACUCCCUCUGUGCCGCAGUUAACACAAUAAGUAUUCCGCCUGGGGAGUACGGCCGCAAGGUUGAAACUUAAAGGAAUUGACGGGG